rnacentral:rRNA from 1 species
UACGAAGGGUGCAAACGUUGCUCGGAAUUAUUGGGCGUAAAGCGCACGUAGGCGGCAUUGCAAGUCGGAUGUGAAAUCCCUCGGCUUAACCAAGGAAGUGCAUCCGAAACUGCAGUGCUUGAGUACUUAAGAGGAUCGCGGAAUUCCCGGUGUAGAGGUGAAAUUCGUAGAUAUCGGGAGGAACACCAGUGGCGAAGGCGCCGCUCUGGGCCGAGACUGACGCUGAGGAGCGAAAGCGUGGGUAGCAAACAGG